UACGUAGGGAGCAAGCGUUGUCCGGAAUCAUUGGGCGUAAAGCGCGCGUAGGUGGCCCCGUAAGUCCGCUGUGAAAGUCAAAGGCUCAACCUUUGAAAGCCGGUGGAUACUGAGGGACUAGAGUACGGAAGAGGCGAGUGGAAUUCCUGGUGUAGCGGUGGAAUGCGCAGAUAUCAGGAGGAACACCAAUAGCGAAGGCAGCUCGCUGGGACGUUACUGACACUGAGGCGCGAAAGCGUGGGGAGCGAACAGG
rnacentral:rRNA from 1 species